UCCGGUCACAGCGGUACGAAUUGGACAAAUUACUGCUCUUUAUCAAUGCUGAAAAACCAUCUUUGAAAUGGAAUCAAAAUCUGCAAAUUUCACUCAGCCGAUGUUGAGAUAUCGACCGUUCAGUUCCCCCGGAUUUGCUCUCCCCUGGGAGGCUGCGAAGAAAUUAUUUUUCAGUUAAUUAUCGAUAUCUUCCGACCCAAUGAAACGAAUUUGAUGAACGUGAGCUCCUUUUGAAACGAAAAAAAAAAUCUUUGGAAUGACAAAAAAUGGUCAAAUUUCUCUCAGGUGAUCAUGAGCUACAGGGAAUGUUCCUGGUACAGACGAGAUUCUUACGAGACUUGGCAACAGUGAGGAGUCGUGGUAGAACUAAACAAGUUUCACCGAUGAUUUCGUAAUUAUCUCCUCUUUUUUUUGUGUUGAUUAACGUAUUAAUUAUCGACAUAUUAGUUUUAAAAACACUGGAAACCCCACUUUCCACUUGAAAUGCCGUCCAGAUAUUCGUGAAAGGUUUACAUGGUAUUUAAUAACCUGAGGAACACAUGGGUUUGUUUGGUUAGGUAAUUGAUGGACAAAAUUCAAAAAUGAGAAGGUGGUUUAGACAAUUUAUCAGGGGAAGGACAGGCCCCAUCCCCAGGGGAUAUGCCGCCGAUAUGAAGCAUAAAUUGAGUCUGGUGUAUAUUUUUACUGCGUUUAAUGCUGUGGGGGUGUUCCUAGCAAUACUUCUGACGGAGUAUUACCCCAUGACUGCGAAGGAGAAAAGACAACCAGGGAGAUACUAUGCGAGAAUCUGGCAGGGAGACGAUGUCUCCGUUAUCAAAGUUGAUGGAUUCAAAAUUGUUAACAGUUAUGAAAUCAAAGGAACCCCCAAAUUACAGCCUAGUCCUACCGACAUGUUGGACGACGAUGCCGAGACUAUUACUGAAACCAGUAAUGAAGAAUUACUCUCAAAUUGAUAAAAUUUAUUUAUUUAUAAUACUUUAGAGCGUCUCAACGGUUGUAAACACACUUUACAAAAAUAUAUCAUUUUCGUUGCUGACAAAAUGAA